UGGGCUCGGCACGGGCGGCACCGGCCCCUCCGCCGCACCCCGCCACCGGCCGCCUCCUCCCGCCCUGCCCUGGCCUGUGCUGGGGGCUGCGCCGCGGCUCGCUCACCUCCCCUACCCCCUGCCCGCUUCCUCCCGCCCCGACGUGCCCCCGCGGCACCUCCGCUGGGCUGGGGGAGAGGCGAGCAGCACCCCUGCAUAGCCCUGCACCUCCAACUAACCUCUCUUUCCCCCUCCUCGGCACUCCCCUCUCUCCUUUUCGCCCCUUUCCCUUUCCCCUCUCUUCCUUUUCUCUCUCCCCUUCACUCUCUCCCUUUCCCUGGCCUUUCCUUUCUCCUCACCUUUUCCCUUUCCAUCCAUUUUCUUUUCGUAUUCCCGACUCCUUCUCCCAUUUUUCCCUCUCCUCGCCAUGCACCCCCACCACCCUCCAUGCAGCGUACCUCUCUAACACCUUCUCCUCCCCCAACAAUCCCUUCCCGUCCGGCCUCCGCACCUGGGGGCAGCCCGAAAGACCCUUUCUCCGCAGCCAGACGCGGGGCCCGCCCGUCCCGAGACAUGCCCCGGGGACGCACCCGCGAUCCCCCACACAUCCUCUGCUCCCCAUUUCCCCACACUUUUCAUUAUUUCCCCUCCAGGUUCUGCUAUUUCCUGCACAGAUUCUUAACGCGAUGUGCGUGUAGCGGCGAAUCCGGCACAUACAAAUAAUAACAGCAGCAAUAAUCAGACUAAAAUGCCAGGAGACGAAGGUAAAAUGUGACCUGCUACAAAACGAAGCGAUCUCGGCGGGAGCAGCCGCGGCAGAGCGCUGCCUGCCGGUCCCGCCGCCUCCGGCUCCCGGCGAGCUCCGCUCGGAUUAUAUAUUUCUCCCUCUCUUCGCCCUCCCCCUCCCCGCCAUUCCCUUAAAAAAAAUUUAAAAUUAAAUAAAUAAAAUCUAC